rnacentral:tRNA from 1 species
AAGAUUUUAUGAUAAAGCAAUCAUUUAACCUUCAAAGUUAAAAAUAUAAAAUAUUUUUAUAAAUCUUA